GACGAACGCUGGCGGCGUGCUUAACACAUGCAAGUCGAACGAAAAUACCAAGCUUGCUUGGUUGAUUAGUGGCGAACGGGUGAGUAACACGUGAGUAACCUGCCCCUUACUUUCCUGGAUAACUGCUCGAAAGGGUAGCUAAUACGGGAUAUUCUGACCAGCCUGCAUGGGUUGGUUUGGAAAGGUUGUUUUUCUGGUAAGGGAUGGGCUCGCGGCCUAUCAGCUUGUUGGUGGGGUGAUGGCCUACCAAGGCUUUGACGGGUAGCCGGCCUGAGAGGGUGGACGGUAACCCUGGGACUGAGAUACGGCCAGACUCCUACGGGAGGCAGCAGUGGGGAAUAUUGCACAAUGGGCGCAAGCCUGAUGCAGCGACGCCGCGUGAGGGAUGAAGGCCUUCGGGUUGUAAACCUCUUUCGUCAGGGAACAAGGCACUGCUUUUUUGGUGGUGUUGAGGGUACCUGGAUAAGAAGCGCCGGCUAACUACGUG
rnacentral:rRNA from 1 species